CUGAUUUUUGAAGACCUCUCAAAGUGUUCUCUCCAUUUUUCAAGCCCAAGAACACCAAGGAAACUUUGAGGCUAAGUCUUGGUCUAGGAAGUAUUUUCCCUAAGUUUGUUAGGGUUUUUGAAAGGUUUUGGAGGAGCCAAAGCUAAUAGGAAGGUCCAAACCUUAAGCAAGAACACCAAAGAGUAUUGGCUAAGCGUAACUGGACUGAACGUUGGAGGGUGAAAACCUGCUGAGCGCUAAGGACUCCAAGUAAG